rnacentral:lncRNA from 1 species
GAUGAAGAUGAAGAAUAGUUGCAAAGAGAGAUAAGAAAGGUUGUUUGAAGUUUGAAAACUUGAAAGUGUGGGAGAAUUGUGCGCGUAGUGUGAAAAUGUGAGUGAAGUGGGUUUUGAAGGUGUGAAAUUCUUGUGCCUGAAGGAAACUAAAAGGAACUUCCACGCCAUGCUCUCUGGUAUAGUUGAACCUCUACUUUAGAAGGAUCCACCAACGCUUCUUCUUCCUGAUCCAGAAGUGAUCCUUCC